rnacentral:rRNA from 1 species
GAUGAACGCUGGCGGCGUGCCUAAUACAUGCAAGUCGAGCGAACAGAUGAGAAGCUUGCUUCUCUGAUGUUAGCGGCGGACGGGUGAGUAACACGUGGGUAACCUACCUAUAAGACUGGGAUAACUCCGGGAAACCGGGGCUAAUACCGGAUAAUAUUUUGAACCGCAUGGUUCGAUAGUGAAAGACGGUUUCGGCCGUCACUUAUAGAUGGACCCGCGCCGUAUUAGCUAGUUGGUAAGGUAACGGCUUACCAAGGCGACGAUACGUAGCCGACCUGAGAGGGUGAUCGGCCACACUGGAACUGAGACACGGUCCAGACUCCUACGGGAGGCAGCAGUAGGGAAUCUUCCGCAAUGGGCGAAAGCCUGACGGAGCAACGCCGCGUGAGUGAUGAAGGUCUUCGGAUCGUAAAACUCUGUUGUUAGGGGAGAACAAAUUUGUUAGUAACUGAACAAGUCUUGACGGUACCUAACCAGAAAGCCACGGCUAACUACGUGCCAGCCGCCGCCGUAA